rnacentral:rRNA from 1 species
UACGGGGGGGGCAAGCGUUGUUCGGAAUUACUGGGCGUAAAGGGCUCGUAGGCGGCCAACUAAGUCAGACGUGAAAUCCCCAGGCUUAACUUGGGAACUGCGUCUGAUACUGGAUGGCUUGAGUUUGGGAGAGGGAUGCGGAAUUCCAGGUGUAGCGGUGAAAUGCGUAGAUAUCUGGAGGAACACCGGUGGCGAAGGCGGCAUCCUGGACCAACACUGACGCUGAGUGAGCGAAAGCCAGGGGAGCAAACGGG